GGGAGUUGGGGCUGCGAGCUCCCGCGGGGCAGCGUUUGGCUCUGCAGGGAGGCAGACAUGCUCUCCGCUCAACUGGAGGGCUGGGGCUGUGUGCUCCCACAGAGCAGCGUAUCUAGCUCUGUGUGGAGCCUCAUGAUUUUUUCUCUGUAUCAACUUUAGCCGUUUCAGCUUCUGGCUUUUGUUUUGGAACAGUAACAUCUUCUGUCACCAGGAUCUCUUCAUCACCCUCACGGAGAUCCCCUACCAACCCUCCCC